CCAGUGGUGGUUCAGUGGUAGAACGCUCGCCUUCCAUGCGGGAGACCCGGGUUCGAUUCCCUCCCAACAGA
rnacentral:tRNA from 1 species